rnacentral:lncRNA from 13 species
CUAGAGCGAAACUCCCGUCUCAAAAAAAAAGCGAAAGCAAGUGGACCCCAGCGGCUCUGUCAUCCGGUCCCCAGGGAAGUCGCUGCGCGCCUCCGACCCUGCCGGGCAGCUUUGUGGCUUCACUGCUUUCGCAACAAGCCCGGGCCUCCCGCGCCCCACUCACCCUGGCCCUGCCGCCUCGCUGCCUGCCGCCUAACCGUCCGCCGCCCGCCCCCCGCCACCUUGCCACCCGCCGCCCGCCGCCUCGCUCUGCUCUCCGCGCUUCCCCUACCUCCCAGGCUGGGCCUGCCCCACCCGUCGCGGAGUCUUCCUGUCCCGACGCCCGUGACUGUCCGCGCCCGGCCGCCGCCUACAGGCAGCCCGGAGCAACCUGGAGCAACCUGGUGCCCGGCCCCGCUGAGAGCAGCGCUCUAUCCGCAGAGGCGGCGGCACGAUGCUGUGCUUCCUCAGGAGAAUGGCUUUCCUCCCCUUCCUCUUGGUGACCUGGUCGUCAGCCACCUUGUUCACCUCCUAUAUGGUGGCCGCGCUCUCCGGGCACGUCAACCCCUUCCUGCCCUGCAUCAGCGAUACAGGAACAAUACCUCCAGAGAGUGAUAUUUUUAAAUUUAUGAUGAACAUCUCUGCACUUCUUGGUAAGUACACAAUAAUUAUUAUAAAUAAUCAAAAAGCUCACAAUUCCAAGUGAAGUCAGAUGUGUUAUUUUUACUUUGUGUAUAAUUUUUAUUUUAUUUUAUUUUAUUUUAUUUAUUUUUUCUGAGACAGGGUCUCUGUUGUUCAGUCUGGAGUGCAGUGGUGUGAUCACAGCUCACCGCAACCUUGACCUCCCCAACUCAGGCAAUUCUCCCACCCCAGAGUAGCUGGUACUACAGGCAUACACCACCAUGCCUAGCUAAUUUUUUGUAGAGAUGGGGUUUUGCCAUGUUGCCAGGCUGGCCUUGAACUCCUAGGUUUAAGUAAUCUACCUGCUUUGGCCUCUCAAAGUGCUGAAAUAAUUGGUGUGAGCCACUGCACACGGCCUGGUGUAUAAUUUUUAAAAAGCACAACCUUUGCAGCUAGAUUUUUGUGCUAUUUUGAGAAACUGAAAUGAAAAGAUAUCCAAAAUUAUGGCUUUAUUAGAGAACUAUACUUUAUUUAGUAAUUUAUAACAGGAUUUUCUGUAGGUGGUUUUAAAUACCAAACUCUGGAAUGGAUUUUAAGUGCAAUUUGAGUUUUAAAAAUGUUGAUUUAUAUUCAAGACACUUAUGGAAACCAAAGACACCCAGUGCGUAAGCGAAGUUUCUCAAAGUGUGGUCUGAAGGCAACUAGAUGCCACACUACUCAGCCAGAACCUUUGGGAGUGUGGGUUCAUGACUGUGCCUUCUAAACAAGCACUCCAAGGGACUUGGAUUCUCACUAAGUUUGAGAACCAUUGACAAAGGCACUAUCUUACCUGUUAGAGAAAGGGAAAAGGUGAAGCAAGAAAUAGUAUGAUUUUUCUUUUCAGUUCCCCAGAUGCACCUGAGAUGCAGUUGAUAGGAUACAACCUCAUCAUGAGCCAAUUAAUGUAAUGCACAGUAAUUACAACUAUUGCACAAUUAAUGUAAGGCUCAGUCUUCUAUAAGGCGAUCCAAGUAUAUAGAUGUUAGAUGCAGGGCUUUUUCUCUUAGUCCUGCUGUAAUCUACCCCCAUGGAACAAUCAUGUGUUUGCCAAGGGCCUAUCGCAUAACCAGCGCUUUCUGUUUCUCUGUACUGGUACAGGGUGGGAAGGGACAGUGAUGCUAACCCUACUUAGCGACUUGGCAUCUUUAGAAUUUGUUUGUCCUACUUGGUAGUGGCAAAGUUUCACCACAUCACCCAUUUGUAGUCCUAAGGUUUUGGAGGUGAGCAAGGGGAAGUAGGAAUAUGGAGUCUGUCAAUCCUAGUGCCCUCUUAUGCCAUCUUUGCCAUGAAUCCCAACUUGGAAAACAGAGAGAUUAUUUUAUCACAGCAAGUGAUAAAUAUGGCGUUUGCUUCUGAAUAAAGCAGAAGGUGACAUUAAUAUAUUCA